rnacentral:sRNA from 1 species
AUGUGCCCCCGAACACUCCGGUUGCUCCGCGCCGUCCGCACCCACCUGACGACUGCUCGCUACGUUUGUUAGCC